rnacentral:rRNA from 1 species
UAGGGAAUCUUCGGCAAUGGACGAAAGUCUGACCGAGCAACGCCGCGUGAGUGAAGAAGGUUUUCGGAUCGUAAAACUCUGUUGUUAGAGAAGAACAAGGACGUUAGUAACUGAACGUCCCCUGACGGUAUCUAACCAGAAAGCCACGGCUAACUACGUGCCAGCAGCCGCGGUAAUACGUAGGUGGCAAGCGUUGUCCGGAUUUAUUGGGCGUAAAGCGAGCGCAGGCGGUUUCUUAAGUCUGAUGUGAAAGCCCCCGGCUCAACCGGGGAGGGUCAUUGGAAACUAGGAGUAUAGGGUGCAGAAGAGGAGGGUGGAAUUCCAUGUGUAGCGGUGAAAUGCGUAGAUAUAUGGAGGAACACCAGUGGCGAAGGCGGCUCUCUGGUCUGUAACUGACGCUGAGGCUCGAAAGCGUGGGGAGCAAACAGG